GCAACCCUUGGUAUUUUAAUCAUGCUAUGUUGUCGUUUUGGUAGCUCAUUACGAUGUCGUAGAGGAUAUCUUCUUGUAAAUGGUGGAAGUUUAUUGGUGAUCAGGUUUAUUCAAAACCAAUUUGUUACCAUUAUAAGCGCACUCACAGGAAGAGAUUGUCAACAGCAUAAAAAUAACAACUAACUUCUCCCUCCCUCUGUAUUUCUUUCAUUUUCUAAAUAGCUAAAUGGCUAGUCUUCGUUGUUUUUCGCUACAAGUGGUAUCGAAGCGGCGGUCCUGCCACUGCCGCUUCACAACCAUGGCGGAUAACGGCAGCUCUACAAGAGUAAGCUAAACAACUUGAGUCUCGUUUCUCUCGCGUUGAAGCUUUUAGCUAGGUCAAAUCAACGAGGGGCUCAAGAAACAUACUGGAGGGACUGAGACCAAACUUGCUGAGCUGAAACAGAAGCUUGGUUUGUUACUGCGCUAAAAAGGGUUAAAUGUGGUGGAAACAGUACAGAUUGGCCUGAAAUUCAAUCCUUCUGGCCCUGUCAAUUGGGGUUCACCGCUACACCACGUUUCCCCACAAGAACCUGGGUUAGAAAAUGUCGCAAAUGCUUACAGAUUUACCAAAUUCCAGAGGAACAGGAGUAAGCUGCUAUGUUCUUGGAGGGGAAGGAAAGCAUUUGGUUUCAGGGCUUUAACCACACCAUCUACCCAUCGAGGCUCUCCAUCCUUUUAUCACCACCUCCCAAUCGAAGCUCUCACACAACAACCCAAACCAGUACCCAUAAUCAUAGCACUUGGAACAAACCACCAUUUCCUCAUUUUUCCACUCAGAAACCCUAAUGUUUCAAGUGCGGUAUCCAUAUUUUCCUGUCAUCAAUGCAAAGGGAAGGAUUUAAAUAGUCUUGAGUCUUAGGAAGACAUGGUAGAGGAGUUUGAGAAUGGAGAGUUAGCGGAUGGUUUGAUUGAGAUUGACGAGUAGGUCGUGGAGGAGUAUGGGUUGUCAGUGAAUGCAAUUCCUGGGAGCAUCACUUGCAACACUAUUCUAAUUAAAGGGGAAACUGAUAAACUACCAUUAGCCAUCCUAAUUGACAGUGGAAGCGCGCACGGUUUUGUAGAUGUCAAUAGAAUUCCAAUUCUCAUUGUCGGGGGAAGUGAAUAAAAAAAUGACAAACCACUACCGCUGUUCCUCUCAGUGUAAUAGUAGCUGAAGGUAGUGUGAUUCAGUGUAGAGCCAAAUGUCCAAAUUCUGAAUGACAUAUUUUUUUUACUAAUCCGCUAGUUCUGCAGUCAGGGGGCAAUGACACGGUGCUUGGGGCUGAUUAGAUGAAGGCAUGCAACCCAAUUUUGUCUGAUUUCUUGAAGAUGAGCUUGACCUUCUAGAAGGACGGGCAGGAAAUAGUUCUUAAGGGAAUUAUUGGUAAUCAGGGGUUGAAUUAAAAAUGCUUAUCGCAGAGUAAGUAGAAAAGGCUCUGUACCAGCAUGUCUAUGGACUGGUGGCUCAAUUGUUUGCUAUCCAUGGGCAAGAACAGAAGCUUGAGGAGAUUCAGCCUGUGGUGCAUGAUUUGUCACUGGAAUUUGAUGCAAUCUUCGCUGAACCUACUCAGCUACCACCAAGCAGGGAGUGUGAUCACUGGAUUCCACUGGAAGAAGGCACCAAACCAGUCAAUCCUUGACCAUAUAGACAUUCCCAUGGCAAAAAGGAUGUGAUAGAGAAACUGGUUAAGAAAAUGCUAGAUUCCUCCAUAAUUCAAGUGAGUCACAGCCCUUUCUCUUCACCAGUACUACUGGUACAGAAGAAAGACAACACUUGGAGAUUCUGUGAGUUAUACAGUGAUGAAUGGUUUUCCAAGAUCGAUUUAUGAGCUGGAUAUCAAAAACACAUAGCACUCUCAAUUUAUGAGAAAGAGUUCUUGGCUAUAUUGCUAGCAGUUCAGAAAUGGAAGUACUACUUGGAGAGUAAGAAAUUUAUUAUCAAGAGAGCUUGAAAUACAUGUUAGAGCAGCGCAUCAACACUUCUAUCCAAAAGAAAGGGCUCAAGAAAUUGUAGGGGAUCCAAUAUGAGAUUCAUAACACCUAUAAGAGAGUGAAGAAUUCUUUUUUGUUGGCCUAAAUUGAAAGAUAGUGUAAAGAGAGUGGUGGAAGAAUGUGAUCCAUGUGCCAGAAACAAAAGUGAGAUUGUAGCAUACCCCGGGUUGCUGCAACCUCUACCCACUCCUCCUCGUUCUUGGAGUGACAUCACUAUGGACUUCAUUGAAGGAGGUGGUUGGCAGGUUCAUAUAAUAUACCCAUUUUCUUACUCUGAGUCAUCCUUUUACAGCUUUGAAUAUGGCCAAAUUUUUUUCAAGCAUGUUUAUAAAUUGCAUGGUGUUCCAGCUCGCAAGUGACUGACAGCGAUAGGUUACUCGUUACCUUGUUUUGGAGAGAAUUUUUGAGACUAAUGGGCACUGAGUCGCGUUCUAGUUCAACACAUCACCCAGUCAGAUGGGCAGACAAAAAAGUUGAAUAGAAGUUUACCAACUUUUUGGAGGUGCAUGACUUUCCAGGGGUAUAAACAGUGGCGCAAAUGGAUUUCUUUGGCUGAAUUUCGGUACAAUAGCAAUUUUCAUUCAGAAAUUGAGAUGACUACCAAGCUCUGUAUGGGAUACCCCAACCAGUGGCCAGUUUUGCUGAAUUGUUGCAAGAGAAAACUCAGAUGGUGGCAUUGCUCAAGGAAAAUUUGUAGAAGACUCGAAAUUGGAUGAAACAACAAGCUAACAAGGGCAAAACUGCGCGCAAUUUUUGUGGGGGUGGCCACGUUUACCUCAAGCUGUAACCUUUGAGACAAAUUUCAGUAUCCUUGCAGAAAGAACCUCUUUAGGGUCUUAAAUCCAUCCAGCCUUCCAUGUUUCAUUAAUCAAAGAGGAAACUAGGAGCCAAGGUGGUUCCAGAACAGCUACUGAUGAUCAGGGAGAGAAUGUUGUCGUAUCUAGGAGGUUGAUUAAACGAAGUUGUCGUUCAAAGGUUAAUUCAGUGGUUUAACCUGUUACCAGAAGAGGCCGCCCCUAGAAGAUCUCUCUUUCAUUGAAAGGCAGGUUCCAGAUUUUCAGGACUGAUUAUGCUUGAGGACAAUGUUGCACUUCUUGUUAUUUUAAUUCUGCAAUGUCGUUUAUAUCUUUAGCUGUUGUCGUUUGUUUUUUUUUUUUUGUUUAUUGUGUGCUCAUUACGGUGUCGUGGAGAAUAUCUUCCGGUAACGGGCGGAAGUUUAUUAGUCGCACGUGUCGUAAACUUAUGGUUUAUUUAUAAUCAAUUUGUUAUAGUUAUAAGUGCACUCACGAUAAGAGAAUGUCAAUAAAGAGAAAUAAUAAUCUGUUCCUUUA